AUUGAACGCUGGCGGCAGGCCUAACACAUGCAAGUCGAGCGGUAGCACAGAGAGCUUGCUCUCGGGUGACGAGCGGCGGACGGGUGAGUAAUGUCUGGGAAACUGCCUGAUGGAGGGGGAUAACUACUGGAAACGGUAGCUAAUACCGCAUAAUGUCGCAAGACCAAAGUGGGGGACCUUCGGGCCUCAUGCCAUCAGAUGUGCCCAGAUGGGAUUAGCUAGUAGGUGGGGUAACGGCUCACCUAGGCGACGAUCCCUAGCUGGUCUGAGAGGAUGACCAGCCACACUGGAACUGAGACACGGUCCAGACUCCUACGGGAGGCAGCAGUGGGGAAUAUUGCACAAUGGGCGCAAGCCUGAUGCAGCCAUGCCGCGUGUGUGAAGAAGGCCUUCGGGUUGUAAAGCACUUUCAGCGGGGAGGAAGGCGAUAAGGUUAAUAACCUUGUCGAUUGACGUUACCCGCAGAAGAAGCACCGGCUAACUCCGUGCCAGCAGCCGCGGUAAUACGGAGGGUGCAAGCGUUAAUCGGAAUUACUGGGCGUAAAGCGCACGCAGGCGGUCUGUCAAGUCGGAUGUGAAAUCCCCGGGCUCAACCUGGGAACUGCAUUCGAAACUGGCAGGCUAGAGUCUUGUAGAGGGGGGUAGAAUUCCAGGUGUAGCGGUGAAAUGCGUAGAGAUCUGGAGGAAUACCGGUGGCGAAGGCGGCCCCCUGGACAAAGACUGACGCUCAGGUGCGAAAGCGUGGGGAGCAAACAGGAUUAGAUACCCUGGUAGUCCACGCCGUAAACGAUGUCGAUUUGGAGGUUGUGCCCUUGAGGCGUGGCUUCCGGAGCUAACGCGUUAAAUCGACCGCCUGGGGAGUACGGCCGCAAGGUUAAAACUCAAAUGAAUUGACGGGGGCCCGCACAAGCGGUGGAGCAUGUGGUUUAAUUCGAUGCAACGCGAAGAACCUUACCUGGUCUUGACAUCCACAGAACUUUCCAGAGAUGGAUUGGUGCCUUCGGGAACUGUGAGACAGGUGCUGCAUGGCUGUCGUCAGCUCGUGUUGUGAAAUGUUGGGUUAAGUCCCGCAACGAGCGCAACCCUUAUCCUUUGUUGCCAGCGGUUAGGCCGGGAACUCAAAGGAGACUGCCAGUGAUAAACUGGAGGAAGGUGGGGAUGACGUCAAGUCAUCAUGGCCCUUACGACCAGGGCUACACACGUGCUACAAUGGCAUAUACAAAGAGAAGCGACCUCGCGAGAGCAAGCGGACCUCAUAAAGUAUAUCGUAGUCCGGAUUGGAGUCUGCAACUCGACUCCAUGAAGUCGGAAUCGCUAGUAAUCGUAGAUCAGAAUGCUACGGUGAAUACGUUCCCGGGCCUUGUACACACCGCCCGUCACACCAUGGGAGUGGGUUGCAAAAGAAGUAGGUAGCUUAACCUUCGGGAGGGCGCUUACCACUUUGUGAUUCAUGACUGGGGUGA
rnacentral:rRNA from 1 species